rnacentral:rRNA from 1 species
CCUACGGGCGGCAGCAGUGAGGAAUAUUGGUCAAUGGGCGCGAGCCUGAACCAGCCAAGUAGCGUGAAGGAUGACUGCCCUACGGGUUGUAAACUUCUUUUAUAAAGGAAUAAAGGUAUCCACGUGUGGAUAUUUGCAUGUACCCUAUGAAUAAGCAUCGGCUAACUCCGUGCCAGCAGCCGCGGUAAUACGGAGGAUGCGAGCGUUAUCCGGAUUUAUUGGGUUUAAAGGGUGCGUAGGUUGUUUUUUAAGUCAGCGGUGAAAGUUUGUGGCUCAACCAUAAAAUUGCCGUUGAAACUGGAAGACUUGAGUGUGUUUGAGGUAGGCGGAAUGCGUGGUGUAGCGGUGAAAUGCAUAGAUAUCACGCAGAACUCCGAUUGCGAAGGCAGCUUACUAAGCCAUAACUGACACUGAAGCACGAAAGCGUGGGGAUCAAACAGGAUUAGAUACCCUUGUAGUC